rnacentral:rRNA from 1 species
AGUGCUGAAAGCAUCUAAGUACGAAACUUGCCUUAAGAUGAGUUCUCCCACAUGAAAGUGUGUAAGGGUUGUUUAAGACUAAGACGUAGAUAGGUGGGGUGUGUAAGUGUAGUGAUAUAUUGAGCUAACCCAUACUAAUUGCCCGAGAGGCUUAACUAUACAACGCUCAAG